GUGAGUAGAGGUGGGAUGAAGGGGUGAGUAGAGGAGGGAUGAAGGGGUGAGUAGAGGAGGGAUGAAGGGGUGAAUAGAGGAGGGAUGAAGGGGUGAGUAGAGGAGGGAUGAAGGGGUGAAUAGAGGAGGGAUGAAGGGGUGAAUAGAGGAGGAUUGAAAUGUCACCGUGCCAACAGUAAACUGUUUAAUCUACAGUGUUUUAUGAAUGACAUAUACAUUGCAAUCCCCCGAACCUCUCCCAACCCUCCAACUCAAAACCCACUCACAGUGCAGAGGUAGGCCCAUUCAGGCUUGCAGUGGAGUAGUAUAGACUAUCAAUCAGACCUGGCUAUGUCUCACCAUGGAGAAGACAGGCCAGAGUAGCCUAUGGAUCAGACCUGGCUAUAUCUCACCAUGGAGAAGACAGGCCAGAGUA
rnacentral:lncRNA from 1 species